UCGGUGCGUAUCUCAAAAAAGUGGUGCAUAAUGUAUUAAGCCGUAAAAGAAAGGCACUUUUUCCGGUAGAGUAGCGUAUCUGAGAGAUUCUCUUUUACUAUCGAAAAACUAAAAUAUGAAUGUGAAAUCUGCCGGUGGAGUUGUUUCUGUGUUGUGAAAUUGUUGAAUUUGAUUAAAAUUUGUUGUGUUGAGUGAUAAUGGAGAGGGAGAAGUACUCGGAGGAAUUGAAUGUGGCUGUGAGGGUUGUGCAUUUGGCGUGUUCUCUGUCAAAAGGUGCAAAAGGGUUUGCUUGGUAAAGCAUUUGGUGAUGAUGAUGAGGUUAAGUCUAAGAUUGAUGAUUCUCUUGUUACUAUUGCAGAUUGGAGUAUGCAAGCAACUGUAAGCUGGAUCCCUUCAAAUACUUUUGGUAGCGAAAAUGUCUCCAUAGUAGCUGAAGAGGAAGUUCAAACCAUAGACGCACUAGACCAUCAUGGUCCUCCAAAGGUGAACAUUUGGCAGGAUCCAAUGAGCCCAUCAAAAUAGAAGGAAGAGCAUUUUGUGAUAGCCUCUCUUACUGGUUGGGGUUUGGUCUUCUAUGGGGUUAUAAGCUCUUCUCAGGAGGAAAGAAAGAGAAGAAGGAAGAGAAAUGAUCACACGGACGUCGGGUUGUCUCUAUUCACCGGCAAUAAAGUAGUGUAAGUUGCUAGGUCUUAGUGGCCUAGUUCAAGCCAAUAUGAGGAUGUAAUUUGUCGGCCCCUAUCCAUUCCCAUUCUAGCUUUGAACUUUGAGUUGUACAUGAAAUGUUGAUUGAACAAUCAACUUUGAGUGCUUUUUUCUGAAUUGUCAAUCCAUUUAAUAACUAUCACCAUGAGUAUGUUGAGGAGAUGAAAAACACGUGAUUAAUCGUUCUAUACAUUACCCCCUCCUCCUG